AGAGUACAGUACAUGUCUCUGUUAGACUCUAAGGUGUUUAGAGUACAGUACAUGUCUCUGUUAGACUCUAAGGUGUUUAGAGUACAGUACAUGUCUCUGUUAGACUCUAAGGUGUUUAGAGUACAGUACAUGUCUCUGUUAGACUCUAAGGUGUUUAGAGUACAGUACAUGUCUCUGUUAGACUCUAAGGUGUUUAGAGUACAGUACAUGUCUCUGUUAGACUCUAAGGUGUUUAGAGUACAGUACAUGUCUCUGUUAGACUCUAAGGUGUUUAGAGUACAGUACAUGUCUCUGUUAGACUCUAAGGUGUUUAGAGUACAGUACAUGUCUCUGUUAGACUCUAAGGUGUUUAGAGUACAGUACAUGUCUCUGUUAGACUCUAAGGUGUUUAGAGUACAGUACAUGUCUCUGUUA